rnacentral:rRNA from 1 species
GUGGCGGACGGGUGAGUAACGCGUGGGUAACCUGCCUCACACGGGGGGAUAACAGUUGGAAACGGCUGCUAAUACCGCAUAAGCGCACAGUACCGCAUGGUACAGUGUGAAAAACUCCGGUGGUGUGAGAUGGACCCGCGUCUGAUUAGCUAGUUGGCAGGGCAACGGCCUACCAAGGCGACGAUCAGUAGCCGACCUGAGAGGGUGACCGGCCACAUUGGGACUGAGACACGGCCCAAACUCCUACGGGAGGCAGCAGUGGGGAAUAUUGCACAAUGGGGGAAACCCUGAUGCAGCGACGCCGCGUGAGCGAAGAAGUAUUUCGGUAUGUAAAGCUCUAUCAGCAGGGAAGAAGAAAUGACGGUACCUGACUAAGAAGCACCGGCUAAAUACGUGCCAGCAGCCGCGGUAAUACGUAUGGUGCAAGCGUUAUCCGGAUUUACUGGGUGUAAAGGGAGCGCAGGCGGAAGGCUAAGUCUGAUGUGAAAGCCCGGGGCUCAACCCCGGUACUGCAUUGGAAACUGGUCAUCUAGAGUGUCGGAGGGGUAAGUGGAAUUCCUAGUGUAGCGGUGAAAUGCGUAGAUAUUAGGAGGAACACCAGUGGCGAAGGCGGCUUACUGGACGAUAACUGACGCUGA